AAGAAAGACAUUAUAAGAAUUUUGAAAAUAUAAUGGAAAUGUCUUUUUUUCUUUCCCAAUUUUGGAGACAAAUUUCUUCUCCUCCAUCUUUAGGUUUCAAGAGAGACAUUAUAAGAAUUUCUAAAAAUAUAGUGGAAAUGUCUUUUUUUCUUUCCCAAUUCUGGAGAUAAAUUUCUAUCUAGGAAACCCACUCCAAAGAUUCUCUCUUAAAAGAUCUCAAAUCCAUCUCCUAUUGGGUAGUUCAUAGGAUGGUGGCUUCCUACAUUCAUGCUAGAGAUAAUGGAGUGGAGAAAGUGCCUUAAAAGGAUCUUUUAUUUCUUUGUGCUAUGAUCCAUGGUAAGAUGAUUCUCACCUCCAAAUUCGUUCUUAAACACCUCUUUUAACUUGGGAACACCUAAAAAGGAGCAUUCUUGUCUCAUCCCACAUUACCAAAAUACCCAAGCACCUCAAUCUUCUCACCCCUCUCAACAAAACCUACCUCACUUCUCUAAUAGUUCUAAUCUCCUUAAGACUACCAUUUUUUGAGCAUGAUAAAGUCAUUAGAUUAAGUCCAAGAUGGGAAAUUAUUCAAUAUAGAUAAUAAGAAGAAAAGAGAAAAAUGAUCAU
rnacentral:lncRNA from 1 species